UCAGACGAUGCGUCAUGCAUAUCAAUAAGCGGAGGAAAAGAAACUAACAAGGAUUCCCCUAGUAACGGCGAGUGAAGCGGGAAGAGCUCAAAUUUGAAAUCUUAAAGGGUUUCCCUUUACGAAUUGUAGUUUAAAGAAGUGUUUUCUGUUGAGGUUUUGGUAAAAGUUCUCUGGAAUAGGACAUCAUAGAGGGUGAGAAUCCCGUAUUUGACCUUUACUUUCAACUUUGUGAUACACUUUCAAAGAGUCGGAUUGUUUGGGAAUGCAGUCCAAAGUGGGUGGUAAAUUUCAUCUAAAGCUAAAUAUUGGCGAGAGACCGAUAGCGAACAAGUACCGUGAGGGAAAGAUGAAAAGAACUUUGAAAAGAGAGUUAAACAGUACGUGAAAUUGUCAAAAGGGAAGCGUUUGACACCAGUGUUGUUUUUCUGAAAAUCAAUUAAAGAACUGUUUAUGCUAAGUUGUUUAGACUUUAUCAGCUAUCUGCUUAGUUUUGAGCUUUUCUUUAAUGCACUUUUCAGUUAACAAGUCAACAUCAAUUUCUUUUGCUGUAAAAAAGCUUGAGGAAGGUGGCUUGAGAUUCGUCUUAAGUGUUUAUAGCCUCUUGCCUAUGCAGUCGGAGAGAUUGAGGUCUGCAGCGUAGAUCCUUCGGGGCUAAAUGCAUUUGUGCUAAGUUAUAGCAUUUUAUAGACAACUUGUUGACUAUGAUUUGUCUUGUAGCUUACUCGCUUAUGUUAUUUUACCUACGCUUAGGAUGUUGACACACGCGCGUGCUCG
rnacentral:rRNA from 1 species